GCUAGCUCCAGUUGAGGCAUUUCAUAGCAGUACAAUAUCUACUCACAGCUAAAUGUCCGCGCAUUUAAUUGUCCAAAAAAUGUUCCAUUCAUUUAUGAGUAUCCUGACCUUUGCACAUGAAUAAGGGUUAAAUGUCACCUCUUCUAGUACAAAAUAUUGCUUUAUUUUUUCAGAGACAUGGCUUCCUCAAUUUUUUUAAUGACCAUGCUCAGACUGCAUCCAUUCUCAAUAGCUUUUACAGCAGCUCGAUGUGCAUGUUUGUGCCAUUUCAGCAAAUUAUAAGAUUGCAACAGCGACCACCUUGCUUGAUUU
rnacentral:misc_RNA from 1 species